GACGAACGCUGGCGGCGUGCUUAACACAUGCAAGUCGAACGGAAAGGCCCUGCUUUUGUGGGGUGCUCGAGUGGCGAACGGGUGAGUAACACGUGAGUAACCUGCCCUUGACUUUGGGAUAACUUCAGGAAACUGGGGCUAAUACCGGAUAGGAGCUCCUGCUGCAUGGUGGGGGUUGGAAAGUUUCGGCGGUUGGGGAUGGACUCGCGGCUUAUCAGCUUGUUGGUGGGGUAGUGGCUUACCAAGGCUUUGACGGGUAGCCGGCCUGAGAGGGUGACCGGCCACAUUGGGAGUGAGAUACGGCACAGACUCCUACGGGAGGCAGCAGUGGGGAAUAUUGCACGAUGGGCGGAAGCCUGAUGCAGCAACGCCGCGUGCGGGAUGACGGCCUUCGGGUUGUAAACCGCUUUCGCCUGUGACGAAGCGUGAGUGAAGGUAAUGGGUAAAGAAGCACCGGCUAACUACGUG
rnacentral:rRNA from 1 species